GUGGGGCCCAAAACUGGACACAGUACUCCAGAUGAGGCCUCACCAAUGUUGAAUAGAGGGGAACGAUCACGUCCCUCGAUCUGCUGGCAAUGCCCCUACUUAUACCUCCCAAAAUGCAAUUGGCCUUCUUGCCAACAAUGGCACACUGUUGACUCAUAUCCAGCUUCUCGUCCACUGUAACCCCUAGGUCCUUUUCUGCAGAACUGCUGCCGAGCCAUUUGGUCCUUAGUCUGUAGCGGUGCAUGGGAUUCUU